rnacentral:rRNA from 1 species
AGAGUUUGAUCCUGGCUCAGAACGAACGCUGGCGGCAGGCCUAACACAUGCAAGUCGAACGGGACCUUCGGGUCUAGUGGCGGACGGGUGAGUAACGCGUGGGAACGUACCCUUUGCUUCGGAAUAGCCCCGGGAAACUGGGAGUAAUACCGGAUGUGCCCUACGGGGGAAAGAAUUUCGGCAAAGGAUCGGCCCGCGUUGGAUUAGGUAGUUGGUGGGGUAAUGGCCUACCAAGCCGACGAUCCAUAGCUGGUUUGAGAGGAUGAUCAGCCACACUGGGACUGAGACACGGCCCAGACUCCUACGGGAGGCAGCAGUGGGGAAUCUUAGACAAUGGGCGCAAGCCUGAUCUAGCCAUGCCGCGUGAGCGAUGAAGGCCUUAGGGUUGUAAAGCUCUUUCGUGGGGGAAGAUAAUGACGGUACCCCAAGAAGAAGCCCCGGCUAACUCCGUG